AAAGAAAGGGUAUGAUUAAGGGAAUUCAAACAAAAAUGCCUAUCCCAAGGGAGCAUUCCCAUAAAUUCAAACUCAACAACAAAUUCUAUUUUUGAUCCCAAUUUUUCUUCUUUUCUUAUUUUUCAACAACAAUACAACCAUGAGCUCUCUUUUUGUUUUUCUUUUUACUAGCUCCAUAAUUUCAAAGGUGACUUAUUGUUCUUGUUUCUUUUCACAAUUU
rnacentral:lncRNA from 1 species